AGAGAGAGAGAGGUGAUGAUUGGCUGAGCUGUAGAGAGAGAGAGAGGUGAUGAUUGGCUGAGCUGUAGAGAGAGAGGUGAUGAUUGGCUGAGCUGUAGAGAGAGAGAGAGGUGAUGAUUGGCUGAGCUGUAGAGAGAGAGGUGAUGAUUGGCUGAGCUGUAGAGAGAGAGGUGAUGAUUGGCUGAGCUGUAGAGAGAGAGAGAGGUGAUGAUUGGCUGAGCUGUAGAGAGAGAGAGGUGAUGAUUGGCUGAGCUGUAGAGAGAGAGAGGUGAUGAUUGGCUGAGCUGUAGAGAGAGAGAGGUGAUGAUUGGCUGAGCUGUAGAGAGAGAGGUGAUGAUUGGCUGAGCUGUAGAGAGAGAGAGAGGUGAUGAUUGGCUGAGCUGUAGAGAGAGAGAGGUGAUGAUUGGCUGAGCUGUAGAGAGAGAGAGAGGUGAUGAUUGGCUGAGCUGUAGAGAGAGAGAGAGGUGAUGAUUGGCUGAGCUGUAGAGAGAGAGAGGUGAUGAUUGGCUGAGCUGUAGAGAGAGAGAGAGGUGAUGAUUGGCUGAGCUGUAGAGAGAGAGGUGAUGAUUGGCUGAGCUGUAGAGAGAGAGAGAGGUGAUGAUUGGCUGAGCUGUAGAGAGAGAGAGAGAGGUGAUGAUUGGCUGAGCUGUAGAGAGAGAGAGGUGAUGAUUGGCUGAGCUGUAGAGAGAGAGAGAGGUGAUGAUUGGCUGAGCUGUAGAGAGAGAGAGAGGUGAUGAUUGGCUGAGCUGUAGAGAGAGAGAGAGAGGUGAUGAUUGGCUGAGCUGUAGAGAGAGAGAGAGGUGAUGAUUGGCUGAGCUGUAGAGAGAGAGAGAGGUGAUGAUUGGCUGAGCUGUAGAGAGAGAGGUGAUGAUUGGCUGAGCUGUAGAGAGAGAGAGAGGUGAUGAUUGGCUGAGCUGUAGAGAGAGAGAGGUGAUGAUUGGCUGAGCUGUAGAGAGAGAGGUGAUGAUUGGCUGAGCUGUAGAGAGAGAGAGAGGUGAUGAUUGGCUGAGCUGUAGAGAGAGAGGUGAUGAUUGGCUGAGCUGUAGAGAGAGAGAGAGGUGAUGAUUGGCUGAGCUGUAGAGAGAGAGAGGUGAUGAUUGGCUGAGCUGUAGAGAGAGAGGUGAUGAUUGGCUGAGCUGUAGAGAGAGAGAGGUGAUGAUUGGCUGAGCUGUAGAGAGAGAGAGAGGUGAUGAUUGGCUGAGCUGUAGAGAGAGAGAGGUGAUGAUUGGCUGAGCUGUAGAGAGAGAGGUGAUGAUUGGCUGAGCUGUAGAGAGAGAGGUGAUGAUUGGCUGAGCUGUAGAGAGAGAGAGGUGAUUGGUUGAGGUGAUUUUAGUUCAGCUUUUAACACACUCCAACCCCAUCUUCUCAUCUUAAAAAUGAGACAGAUGAGUGUUAA